rfam:Oryza brachyantha chromosome 5, whole genome shotgun sequence.
AAUAACUUUAUUUUUCAUUUUUUCGUGUCCAACGUUUGACCAUUCGUCUUAUUUGAAAUUUUUUUGUGAUUAAUAUUUUUAUUGUACUAGAUGAUAAAAUAUGAAUAGUACUUUAUACAUGACUAAUUUUUUUAAGUUUUUGUACAAAUUUUUUAAAUAAGACGAAUAGUCAAACAUUGGACACGGAAAAACA